rnacentral:rRNA from 1 species
UAUUGGACAAUGGGGGAAACCCUGAUCCAGCCAUCCCGCGUGUAUGAUGAAGGCCUUCNGGUUGUNANGUACUUUUGGCAGAGAANCAAAGGUACCUCCUAAUACGAGGUACUGCUGACGGUAUCUGCAGAAUAAGCACCGGCUAACUACGUGCCAGCAGCCGCGGUAAUACGUAGGGUGGGAGCGUUAAUCGGAAUUACUGGGCGUAAAGCGGGAGGAGGCGUUUCGGAAAGAAAGAUUAGAAAUCCCAGGGCUCAACCUUGGAACUGCAUUUUUAACUGCCGAGCUAGAGUAUGUCAGAGGGGGGUAGAAUUCCACGUGUAGCAGUGAAAUGCGUAGAUAUGUGGAGGAAUACCGAUGGCGAAGGCAGCCCCCUGGGAUAAUACUGACGCUCAGACACGAAAGCGUGGGGAGCAAAC